rnacentral:rRNA from 1 species
AUAGUACCUUUACCUGGAUAACCGUGGUAAUUCUAGAGCUAAUACAUGCUAAAAAUCCCGACUUCGGAAGGGAUGUAUUUAUUAGAUAAAAAACCAAUGCCCUUCGGGGCUCCUUGGUGAAUCAUAAUAACUUAACGAAUCGCAUGGCCUUGCGCCGGCGAUGGUUCAUUCAAAUUUCUGCCCUAUCAACUUUCGAUGGUAGGAUAGUGGCCUACCAUGGUCUUAACGGGUAACGGGGGAUUAGGGUUCGAUCCCGGAGAGGGAGCCUGAGAAACGGCUACCACAUCCAAGGAAGGCAGCAGGCGCGCAAAUUACCCAAUCCCGACACGGGGAGGUAGUGACAAUAAAUACUGAUACAGGGCUCUUUCGGGUCUUGUAAUUGGAAUGAGUACAAUCUAAAUCCCUUAACGAGGAACAAUUGGAGGGCAAGUCUGGUGCCAGCAGCCGCGGUAAUUCCAGCUCCAAUAGCGUAUAUUAAAGUUGUUGCCGUUAAAAAGCUCGUAGUUGAACUUUGGUCCUGGCUGAUCUGUCCUCCUAAUCGAGCGCACGGAUUCGGUCGGGACUUUCCUUCUGGGGAGCCCGAUGGCCUUUACUGGCCGUCGUGGGGAACCAGGACUUUUACCUUGAAAAAAUUAGAGUGUUCAAAGCAGGCAUUUGCUCGAAUACAUUAGCAUGGAAUAAUAAAAUAGGACAUCGGUUCUAUUUUGUUGGUUUCUAGGACCGCUGUAAUGAUUAAUAGGGAUAGUCGGGGGCGUCAGUAUUCAAUUGUCAGAGGUGAAAUUCUUGGAUUUAUUGAAGACUAACUACUGCGAAAGCAUUCGCCAAGGAUGUUUUCAUUAAUCAGUGAACGAAAGUUAGGGGAUCGAAGACGAUCAGAUACCGUCGUAGUCUUAACCAUAAACUAUGCCGACUAGGGAUCGGACGGUGGUUUUUUUAUGCCCCGUUCGGCACCUUACGAG